GAUGAAGAACGCAGCGAAAUGCGAUAAGUAGUGUGAAUUGCAGAAUUCAGUGAAUCAUCGAAUCUUUGAACGCACAUUGCGCCCCUUGGUAUUCCAUGGGGCAUGCCUGUUCGAGCGUCAUUUAACCCCUCAAGCCUAGCUUGGUAUUGGGUGCUUGUCCCGCCUCUCGCGCGGCGACUCACCUCAAAGUCAUUGGCAGCCCGCAUCUCGCCGGCCGUGAGCGCAGCACAGACGCGCUCUUGGCAACGACGGAUCGGCUCUCCAAAAGCUUAUUUCAACCACUGACCUCGGAUCAGGUAGGGAUACCCGCUGAACUUAAGCAUAUCAAUAAGCGGAGGA
rnacentral:misc_RNA from 1 species